AAAACAUCUCUUUUUGAAUAAAAUUUUAAGUUGACUCUGCCCAAUGAAGAAUUUUAAUGGCUGCAGUAAUUUAACUGUACAAAGGUAGCAUAAUAAAUUGUUUUUUAAUUGAAAACUUGAAUGAAGGAGGUGAUGAAAUAUAAACUUUUUUAAAGUAAUUAUUUGAAUUUAAUUUUUAAAUAAGAAAGUUUAAAUUUAUUUAAGGGACGAGAAGACCCUAUAGAAUUUUACAAUAAAGAUUGGUAAUAGAAGUAUAAUUUAUUUAUGUUUUUUUGGGAGGAAAAUUAAAAUUUUAAACUUUAAUUAUAUAAUUACAUAGGUUAAUGAAUUGAAUAGAUUUUAGUAAUAUUAAAUUUAAGAUUAAAUUACCUUAGGGAUAACAGUGUAAUAUUUUUUUAUAGUUCAUAUUAAAAAAAGUGUUU
rnacentral:rRNA from 1 species